rnacentral:rRNA from 1 species
CCUACGGGUGGCUGCAGUGGGGAAUAUUGGACAAUGGGCGAAAGCCUGAUCCAGCCAUGCCGCGUGUGUGAAGAAGGCCUUCGGGUUGUAAAGCACUUUCAGUGGGGAAGAAAGCCUUGGGGCUAAUACCCUCGAGGAAGGACAUCACCCACAGAAGAAGCACCGGCUGAACUCCGUGCCAGCAGCCGCGGUAAUACGGAGGGUGCGAGCGUUAAUCGGAAUUACUGGGCGUAAAGCGCGCGUAGGCGGUCUGAUAAGCCGGUUGUGAAAGCCCCGGGCUCAACCUGGGAACGGCAUCCGGAACUGUCAGGCUAGAGUGCAGGAGAGGAAGGUAGAAUUCCCGGUGUAGCGGUGAAAUGCGUAGAGAUCGGGAGGAAUACCAGUGGCGAAGGCGGCCUUCAGGACUGACACUGACGCUGAGGUGCGAAAGCGUGGGUAGCAAACAGGAUUAGAUACCCGGGUAGUC